rnacentral:rRNA from 1 species
UGGCGGCACUAGCGCGGUGGUCCCACCUGACCCCAUGCCGAACUCAGAAGUGAAACGCCGUAGCGCCGAUGGUAGUGUGGGGUCUCCCCAUGUGAGAGUAGGAAACUGCCAGGCA